rnacentral:rRNA from 1 species
GACGAACGCUGGCGGCGUGAUUAACACCUGCAAGUCGAACUAAGUGGCGAACGGGUGAGUAACGCGUAAUCAACCUGCCCUUCAGAGGGGGAAAACAGUUGGAAACGACUGCUAAUAACGCAUACUGAAGGCGGGGAUUGCGUCUGAUUGGUUAGUUGGGGGGGAACGGGCCCACCAAGGCGAUGAUCAGUAGCCGGUCUGUGAGGAUGAACGGCCACAUUGGGACUGAGACACGGCCCAGACUCCUACGGGAGGCAGCAGUGGGGAAUCUUCCGCAAUGGACGAAAGUCUGACGGAGCAACGCCGCGUGAGGGAUGACGGCCUUCGGGUUGUAAAGCGCUGUUAAUCGGGACGCGGUACCGGAAUAGAAAGCCACGGCUAACUACGUGCCAGCCGCCGCGGUAAUAC